ACCCCGGCCCUUUUCAGGGCCACCAAAAUCCUCUUAAAGACCUGU
rfam:Branchiostoma floridae genomic scaffold BRAFLscaffold_174, whole genome shotgun sequence.